GUCUACGUCCAUGCCACCCUGAACACGCCCGAUCCCGUCUGAUCUCAGAAGCUAAACAGGGUCGGGCCUGGUCAGUUCUUGGAUGGGAGACCACCUAGGAAGACCAGGUGCUAUAGGCG
rnacentral:rRNA from 1 species